AACGUCAACAGAAGGAUUUAAACUACUUGAAACACCAGCAAAGAAUGGUUCCGAAGAUGAAAAUGUUGAUAACUCAAAUCUGCCACAACCGCCUACCGAAGCACAGGAAGGAAUCGUGAACAGGUCUGACGAAAGGAAAAUUAGCGAUGGAGAAAUCAUAGCAUUAGCCAAAAAAAUGCCCCAUGGCAAUUACACCGAAUUUGGCGUAGCUUUGGGAUUUGACAUCAACUACUCUAAGAACAUCUUAACCAAAUAUCAAUCAAAUUAUAUUGAUGCGUUUGAAGAAAUAUUGAAAAAUUGGAGUACAAAGACAGGUGGUUUUACACAAAAACUUGAUGACGCUCUAUUGAAAGCCGACCUCGGAGGACUAAGAUAUGAGUGCAAGUCAGAUGUAGACUAACAGCCUCAACUUGUACAACAUAUCGUAUGAUUUACAUGAUACAACAUAGCAUUAAUGAUGAUGUUACAAUGUUCGUGACAAUUGCAGACCGAUCUGGGUACUACUUAUGCCCUUAUUACCUUCACCAUGGACAAUAAUCCACUAUCCUUUAUUUUAUGACGUCAUUACUCAUUUCUCCACUAUUAAAAGAGGAAAAUUAAAUCCUUCCUCUUAUUGUUUUAUUGUUAAGCUUGUUUCUCGUUCAGGUCAUAAUCCUUAACGUUGGUACGAUAUCCUAACAUUUUCAUAGUUUAAGCAAAUUCAACCACAAAUACAAUUUUUUUAAAACAAUGUUGAUCGGUGAAGUGUGCAUGGAUUAAUGUAACAAAUGCUUCAUUUGAAAGCGUAUUGCCUCUACUGUAUGAAAACAAGAAAACAUAAAAUGUCAC